GGGGGACUAGCUCAGAUGGUAGAGCGCUCGCUUAGCAUAAGCAACGUGAGCUUGUAAUAUGCGAGAGGCACGGGGAUCGAUACCCCGGUCCUCCA